GAUUGGACAGAGAUGCGCAAACAAUUCCUUGCAUAUGUUCUCUCUUUCAAGGACAACGAAGCAUACCAGCUUCCUUCUCGAGCUUCUCAGCUGAUCCAAAAUCUUCCUGGAGGUCCAGCUCCUUGGACACGCUGUGAGAUGGACAGCCGUUUGCACAAGGCCCUGACAGAAGACAACAAAGACGAGUUCACAAAGUUAUUUCCCCGAAUUGACGACCCACCAAUAAUUGAAGCACAAGAGAAGCUGCUCCGAGGGGCAACCUGUGAUGGAGAUGGGAUGCUGCACAUUGCUGUCAGGCAUGGCAAACUGGAGGUUCUGGAAGCCAUGAAAGGACUGUUUGUCCCUUCAGCAGGUGCCGUAAGCAUCGAAAUGACGAGUUCAGGUUCAGGUUCAGGUUCAGGGGGGAGUGUCAUAAGCGGCGGAGGGUGGCUAACCGCGAUGGCGCCUCUGUUUGCCGAGUCGCUUAGGGCAAGAAACAACAGAGGGGAGACCUGCCUACACGAGGCAGUGAGGCGAGGCAACAGGGAAGCUGUCGAGUCCCUGAUCUGGAUGGAUGAGAAUGUGGAUGGCGGCAGGACCAGCAGAACCCCAUCGCUGGUGCAGAGAGUAGACUAUCAAGGUGUCUCUCCCCUCUACUUGGCUACCACUCUACGCCGUGGUGACAUCGUGGGGAUUCUUACGCACCCCUCCCAAAAUCACUACUCACCAUCCUUCUCCGGGCCUGGAGGAAAGACCGCCAUGCAUGCUGCCGUUCUUGCCAAGGGAGAUUUUGCAGAUGCCAAAGUGCUAACGAAGAAGCUCCUCGAGUGGACGACCAGCAAGAAUUACCCGGGAGGUGCACGGGAUCUUAUAUGUAUGGGUGACAAAUCAGGGAGCACUCCUCUCCACCUUUUGGCCUCGGAGGGAGGCGCAUCUGUCGCAGAGCUACUGCUCUCUUCUGAUGCGAGAGAAAUGUCGUGGGCACGCCGCUUACGCUCAAAGAUAUGUCCGUGUACAUCACCAGCUGGGAAUGCCGCCGCCGCCGACGACGACGACACGAGAGAGGGGGGCUCUUGUACUGCUGCUGCGCUGAAGAAGGACUCCAAUGGCUGGUUUCCCAUACAUGUCGCUGCGGCAAAUGGAAGGCUUGACAUCGUCAGGAAACUUGUGGAGGUGUGCCCUGGCUGCACGCAGUCACGCAACGAUUCAGGCCAGACUUUCCUCCACCUCGCUGUGGAGAAGAAGAUGGAGAGCGUCGUGGACCACGUAUGCAGCCAACGGAGCUUGGCGGGGAUACUGAACUUGGCCGAUUGGGAUGGGAAUACCGCUCUGCAUCUGGCGGUGAAGACUGGGAAUACCCGCAUCUUCUGCAGUUUGGUGAGCAACAUCAGCGUCGGCCUCAGUUUCGCGAACAAGGAGGGGCACACACCUCUCGACCUCUCCAUCUUAUGCAUUAAACCUGGACUGCACCUCUUACUGAACUCCCGAGUAUUGAUAAAGUAUCACUUGAGACUGUCUGGAUCUGAUCAUGGUACCUAUCGAAGGGAUCUGCUCAAGGGUGAGGACAAGGCACGAGGAGAGCUCGAUCAAGACAAGUUAUCAGAGUCUAUCAGCAAGUCCGCAGGGCUCACGGCUGUCUGUGCCAUUUUCAUGCUGAACAUAUCGGUAGCCACAUUCUACAACGUUGCGAAACAGAAUCUAUCUGCUGAUGCUGUUGUUCUGCCGCCUCCGCUCAUCAGCCGAGCGAGGGGACGUGCAUUCAGGGCACUCAUAGUCUCUGACGCCCUGACAUUCGCUUCGUCUUCACUGGCCGCGUUCUGCAGCAUCUUCGCUGGGUUCUCCACCAUGGAUCGUCCAACGCGCCUUGUGCACCUCGGCAUUGCGGGCUUCUCCCUCCGGAUUGCAUGUUUGGCUGUGGUCGCUGUCUUCGUGCUGGCGGCGUACCUUGCCUUCGCUCCAAUCGAUCCGCACAUCGCCGCUGCGGCAUGUGUGCUCCCGCUUCUCGCGGUUUCGCCGCAACUCCUCACACCCUUCAUCAUCCUGUUACUCCAUGAACAGGCACUUCUUAGAAGGCUUUUCCAAAAGCACGCAUCGCCCAAACUUCGCAAUGCAUUGCAAUUCGCAAGGGGAUUCUUCCAGAACCACAUAUCUCCAAUAGUCGGAUGUAUCAAAGCCAAGCUCCCGCAAAGCCUCUCAGCCAUCAUAACAGAUCUAGUUCCCGUACUUAACAGUUGCUGCGUCAGAUCCUCAAUUCUUCUAUGCUUAGCCCCUAUUUUGGCAGCUAUCUUAACAGUGGCUACGGUGAUUGGCGUCAUUGCCAUCAUCUGCGGCAUUAUUGCUGCUAUAGUUUUCGCUAUAAUCCACUUCGUUACUGAUUAAGGCACUUCAUUAUAAUCCACUUCGUUACUGAUUAAGUGUUUUCGAUGAUAAUAGAUGUGCUUAUUGUAAUAAAUUGUAUUUUUUAACUUGCUCUCAAAAUAAUAUAAACAUCAUUUGUUUUGAAUUACUUAAAGAUGGAUGUAUAGUCCGUUUUGAAUCAGUAGUGGA
rnacentral:misc_RNA from 1 species